AUACGGAGGGGGCUAACGUUGCUCGGAAUCACUGGGCGUAAAGCGCGUGUAGGCGGCGACGUAAGUCGGAUGUGAAAGCCCUCGGCUCAACCGAGGAAGUGCAUCCGAUACUGCGUUGCUUGAGUCCCGGAGGGGGUGGCGGAAUCGGCGGUGUAGAGGUGAAAUUCGUAGAUAUCGCUGGGAACACCUGUGGCGAAGGCGGCCACCUGGACGGGUACUGACGCUGAGACGCGAAAGCGUGGGGAGCAAACAGGAUUAGAAACCCCAGUAGUCC
rnacentral:rRNA from 1 species